GGGAUAACNACUCGAAAGAGCAGCAAAUACCGCAUACGAUCUGAGGAUGAAAGCGGGGGACCUUCGGGCCUCGCGCGAUUGGAGCGGCCGAUGGCAGAUUAGGUAGUUGGUGGGAUAAAAGCUUACCAAGCCGACGAUCUGUAGCUGGUCUGAGAGGACGAUCAGCCACACUGGGACUGAGACACGGCCCAGACUCCUACGGGAGGCAGCAGUGGGGAAUUUUGGACAAUGGGCGAAAGCCUGAUCCAGCAAUGCCGCGUGCAGGAUGAAGGCCUUCGGGUUGUAAACUGCUUUUGUACGGAACGAAAAAGCUUCUCCUAAUACGAGAGGCCCAUGACGGUACCGUAAGAAUAAGCACCGGCUAACUACGUGCCAGCAGCCGCGGUAAUACGAGGGGGGCUAGCGUUGUUCGGAAUUACUGGGCGUAAAGCGCGCGUAGGCGGACUAACAAGUUGGAUGUGAAAUCCCAGGGCUCAACUCUGGAACUGCAUUCAAAACUGUUAGUCUAGAGGCCAGGAGAGGUCAGUGGAAUACCGAGUGUAGAGGUGAAAUUCGUAGAUAUUCG
rnacentral:rRNA from 1 species